GGAAAGGCCCGCCAAAGACGGUAACAGCCCGGUAGUUGAAAUGGCUUUCCCUCCAGAGUGGAUCCUGAGUACGGCGGAACACGUGAAAUUCCGUCGGAAUCCGGGAGGACCAUCUCCCAAGGCUAAAUACGCCCUAGUGACCGAUAGUGAACCAGUACCGUGAGGGAAAGGUGAAAAGCACCCCGGAAGGGGAGUGAAAUAGUUCCUGAAACCGUGUGCCUACAAGUAGUUAGAGCCCGUUAAUGGGUGAUAGCGUGCCUUUUGUAGAAUGAACCGGCGAGUUACGAUUUGUUGCAAGGUUAAGCGGAAAAAGCGGAGCCGUAGCGAAAGCGAGUCUGAAUAGGGCGCAUAAGUAACAGGUCGUAGACCCGAAACCAGGUGAUCUACCCAUGUCCAGGAUGAAGGUAAGGUAAUACUUACUGGAGGUCCGAACCCACGCACGUUGAAAAGUGCGGGGAUGAGGUGUGGGUAGCGGAGAAAUUCCAAUCGAACUUGGAGAUAGCUGGUUCUCUCCGAAAUAGCUUUAGGGCUAGCCUCGAGG
rnacentral:rRNA from 1 species